UUAAAAAGCUCGUAGUUGGAUUUCGGAAUGGGCCAGUUGGUCCGCCGCAAGGUGAGUUACAGACUGGUCUGUUCUUCUUCGCAAAGACUGCGUGUGCGCUUUAUUGCGUGUACGUAGGAUUUACGACGUUUACUUUGAAAAAACUAGAGUGUUCAAAGCAGGCUAUCGCUUGAAUACAUGAGCAUGGAAUAAUGGAAUAGGACUUUGGUCUUAUUUUGUUGGUUUCUGAGACCGAAGUAAUGAUUAAGAGGGACAAUUGGGGGCAUCCGUAUUUCGUUGUCAGAGGUGAAAUUCUUGGAUUUACGAAAGACGAACAACUGCGAAAGCAUUUGCCAAGAGUGUUUUCAUUAAUCAAGAACGAAAGUUAGAGGAUCGAAGACGAUCAGAUACCGUCCUAGUUCUAA
rnacentral:rRNA from 1 species